rnacentral:rRNA from 1 species
UACGGAGGGGGCUAGCGUUGUUCGGAAUUACUGGGCGUAAAGCGCGCGUAGGCGGACCUGCAAGUCGGGGGUGAAAGCCCGAGGCUCAACCUCGGAACUGCCUUCGAUACUGCGGGUCUCGAGUCCGGGAGAGGUGAGUGGAAUUCCUAGUGUAGAGGUGAAAUGCGUAGAGAUCGGGAGGAACACCAGUGGCGAAGGCGGCCUUCUGGACCAAUACUGACGCUCAUGCACGAAAGCGUGGGGAGCAAACAGG